CUCUCAGAGUGAGCUGAUGGUUCUGAGAGUGAGCUGAAAGGUCUCAGAGUGAGCUGUUGGUUCUGAGAGUGAGCUGAAAGGUCUCAGAGUGAGCUGAUGGUUCUGAGAGUGAGCUGAAGGGUCUGAGAGUGAGCUUAAGGGUCUGAGAGUGAGCUGAUGGUUCUGAGAGUGAGCUUAAGGGUCUGAGAGUGAGCUGAUGGUUCUGAGAGUGAGCUGAAGGGUCUCAGAGUGGACUGAUGGUUCUGAGAGUGAGCUUAAGGGUCUGAGAGUGAGCUGAUGGGUCUGAGAGUGAGCUUAAGGGUCUGAGAGUGAGCUGAUGGUUCUGAGAGUGAGCUGAUGGUUCUGAGAGUGAGCUUAAGGGUCUGAGAGUGGACUGAUGGUUCUGAGAGUGAGCUUAAGGGUCUGAGAGUGAGCUGAUGGUUCUGAGAGUGAGCUGAAGGGUCUCAGAGUGGACUGAUGGUUCUGAGAGUGAGCUUAAGGGUCUGAGAGUGAGCUGAUGGUUCUGAGAGUGAGCUGGAGGGUCUCAGAGUGGACUGAUGGUUCUGAGAGUGAGCUGAAGGGUCUGAGAGUGAGCUGAUGGUUCUGAGAGUGAGCUUAAGGGUCUGAGAGUGAGCUUAAGGGUCUGAGAGUGAGCUGAUGGGUCUGAGAGUGAGCUGAAGGGUCUGAGAGUGAGCUUAAGGGUCUGAGAGUGAGCUGAUGGUUCUGAUGUUCUGGUU